rnacentral:rRNA from 1 species
GACGAACGCUGGCGGCGUGCUUAACACAUGCAAGUCGAACGGAAAGGCCCUGCUUGCAGGGUACUCGAGUGGCGAACGGGUGAGUAACACGUGGGUGAUCUGCCCUGCACUUCGGGAUAAGCCUGGGAAACUGGGUCUAAUACCGGAUAGGAGCCAUUUUUAGUGUGAUGGUUGGAAAGUUUUUUCGGUGUAGGAUGAGCUCGCGGCCUAUCAGCUUGUUGGUGGGGUAAUGGCCUACCAAGGCGGCGACGGGUAGCCGGCCUGAGAGGGUGGACGGCCACAUUGGGACUGAGAUACGGCCCAGACUCCUACGGGAGGCAGCAGUGGGGAAUAUUGCACAAUGGGCGCAAGCCUGAUGCAGCGACGCCGCGUGGAGGAUGACGGUCUUCGGGUUGUAAACUCGUUUCGCUAGGGACGAAGCUUUUUGUGACGGUACCUAGAUAAGAAGCACCGGCUAACUACGUG